AGUGAACGCUGGCGGUAGGCCUAACACAUGCAAGUCGAACGGCAGCACAGUAAGAGCUUGCUCUUACGGGUGGCGAGUGGCGGACGGGUGAGGAAUACAUCGGAAUCUACUUUUUCGUGGGGGAUAACGUAGGGAAACUUACGCUAAUACCGCAUACGUCCUACGGGUGAAAGCAGGGGAUCUUCGGACCUUGCGCGAUUGAAUGAGCCGAUGUCGGAUUAGCUAGUUGGCGGGGUAAAGGCCCACCAAGGCGACGAUCCGUAGCUGGUCUGAGAGGAUGAUCAGCCACACUGGAACUGAGACACGGUCCAGACUCCUACGGGAGGCAGCAGUGGGGAAUAUUGGACAAUGGGCGCAAGCCUGAUCAAGCCAUACCGCGUGGGUGAAGAAGGCCUUCGGGUUGUAAAGCCCUUUUGUUGGGAAAGAAAAGCAGCAGGUUAAUACCCCGCUGUUCUGACGGUACCCAAAGAAUAAGCACCGGCUAACUUCGUG
rnacentral:rRNA from 1 species